rnacentral:rRNA from 1 species
UACGGAGGGGGCUAGCGUUGUUCGGAAUUACUGGGCGUAAAGCGCACGUAGGCGGCUUUGUAAGUUAGAGGUGAAAGCCCAGGGCUUAACCCUGGAAUUGCCUUUAAGACUGCAUCGCUAGAAUUGUGGAGAGGUAAGUGGAACUCCGAGUGUAGAGGUGAAAUUCGUAGAUAUUCGGAAGAACACCAGUGGCGAAGGCGACUUACUGGACACAUAUUGACGCUGAGGUGCGAAAGCGUGGGGAGCAAACAGG